rnacentral:lncRNA from 1 species
UAUCCUUGGAUAUCAGAACUCCAGGCUCCGGCCUUUGGACUCCAGGACUUAACACCAGCAGCUCCCAGAUUCUCAGGCAUUCAGCCUCCAACUGAGAGUUACACCAUUGGCUUUCCUGAUUUUGAUGCCUUCAGACUUGGUUUAAGCCAUGCUACCAGCAUCCCAGAGCCUCCAGUUUGCAGAUGGCCCGUUGGGAGACUUCCCACCCUCCAUAAUUAUUUGAAUGGCUCUGUUUUCCAUCAAUGAUGACAGCUUUUAAUCAUAGAUCUCAAGCCCAUUAUGAACAUUAAUUAAUGUCUGACAUCGCUUAAUGAGAUGGAGCCUUGCCCUGUUGCCCAAGCUGGAGUGCCAUGGCUUGAUACUGGCUGUCUGCAACCUCCACCUCCCGGGUUCAAGUGAUUCUCCUGCCUCAGCCUCCCAAGUAGCUUGGAUUACAGCAACUGAAAAUCUCUGCAACAACUUGGCAAUGGAAUGUGAAGGAGCCGAACAAGGAAGGACCAGACGACUGACUCAUGGGGUUUGGUUGAAGGAGAUGAGGGCAAGGAGAAAAGGGAUAUGAAGAGGGUUGUAGAGGCUGUGGGAGGAAGGAGAUAGAAAAGGCCUUCGGCAAAGAUGCUUUUCUGCCUACAUCUAUGUUGGCCAUAUGGGGAUGCCAUAAAUACCUUGAACACUGGAGGAGCUAGGUGUGGCACCAGACAUCAAGAUGGCCCUUAAGGAUUCUAGCCUCCUGGUAUUCAUGUUCUUAUAUGGUCUCCUCCAACAUUGAAAAGGGCUGACCUGUGUAACCAAUAGGAUAUUGUGGGAAUGAUGGAGUUUGUCUUUUGAGGCUAGAUCAUGAAAGACAUGUGGUUCUUGGACCACUUAAUCAUGGAGAAGACGGCUGCCAUGUUGUGAAGACUCUCAAGCAGCUCUGUGGAGAGGUCCAUAGGUGAGGAACUGAGACCCCCCUCCAAGUGAGCAAUCUUGGAGGUGGAUCCUUUCCUCUCAUUCAGGCCUUCAGAUGACUACAGCCUGGGCUGGUAUCUUGACUACAACCUUAUGGGGAACCCUAAGGCAACACCAGCUAAGAUUCUCCUGAAUUCCUCACCCGAAGAAACUAUGAGAUAAUAAAUCUGUGUUGGUUUAAGCCACUGUGUAUUGAGAUAACUAAUUAUGUGGCAAUAGAAAACUAAUACGCUAAGAGAUGAAUUAGAGAAUCCACUCCAAGAUUCCACUGUCCAUUUGUUUAUUCUUUUAAAUUCUGUGUCUGCCUGACUGGCCCACAAGACUCUAGGAUUAUCAAGUAUACUACCCUACCCUUACAUAAUAAAGCGUGUAGGCUGGGUGAGGUGGCUUAUGCUGGUAAUCCUAGUGCUUUGGAAGGCUGAGG